rnacentral:misc_RNA from 1 species
GCCAUGCUCACUUGUGCGGAAGUCUCUGUGAUUUGAUCGCUAGUGCACAUAUCGUAUUCGGGGGAUACAGUACGACACUAGCGCACGGACUGCGUUCUCUGUCAAGGUAGCUUGUGAGAAGAAGAAAAGAAAAGCUGCAUUUUUAUACUGAAGGCAUUAAACACAUUAAGGUCUGACGUUAAUGACGAUUGAGUCUACGAAGCAGAGGAUUGAGAAGAGGAAGAGGAGGCUGCAGGAAUAGUUUAAAAAAUCUUGUUAUUUUGCUGCUGCUACUCUCCUGGAGUAGUUAAAGACUGUUCCAGUUCACUGAGCAAUUUUUCACUUGUUUUCACUGCUGAGAGCCAUCGUAUUGGACUUGUCAACUUUCUCCUGUGAAUUCGUUCUUCUUGACAUGAGGGAAGAAGAGGGAGACGUCAGUGAGGUUUAACACUUGGGAUUUGGUUGAUGUAUAAAAACGGGCAGUGACAGAGAGCUCGUCAUCAGUUCGUGUCCUCAUUGGUGGUGUCUGGAAAUUUCUGGAAACAGUUCCACUGAACAUUCAGUGACUUAAAAGAGCAUCAGAACACCCUGCUUAUCAAGAGGAAAUGGAGCAUGUAUCUGGCAUAGAGCACCAUGUUAACCAAAAUAGACCCAACUUGGAAAAGAUGGAUACUGUCAAUACACAUGGAACUGAGCACUAUGUCUGGAUACACAUAGAAGUGCAUAAGUUUGAUGAAACUAUCCCAAAUGGGUGAAAUGCACUACUGCACAUGCAUGCGUGAUGAUUUCGGCACAUGCGGGGCGAGUGUCCAGCGGGGCACUAAUGUCCCAGGAUACUGCCUCCGCCGUGGAACACAGGGAUGGUAGUCCAGAUCUACCAUGAUCUUUAUAGUGAAAGUACUAUAACGAGGCUAUGGAUAUAGACAUACGUCUUGUGUACCAAAGUUUCAAAUUUUUUGUUUUUAUUUGGGUUUCCACAGUCACUAGUUACUGGCAUUUUAAGGGUCAUCUUGUGACACGUCAUUUUCAAGUCUAGAGCAUACCUUUAUGAAAACUGACCCCCCAUUUCUUAUAGUUUAGAUUUUAAAGGAAAACAACUCUUCAUUUUGGUGAAAAAAGUGCCAUAAAACAAGAUUUUCCUAGGGUAAACAAGGUUGUUUCCAUACUAAACAAUGGUUAGUGAAUCUGUUUCAAUAUUCAAAGUUAGUUGUUGUUUUUUUUUUUGUUAUUGAUCCUGUAUCUAUCUGUGAAGGUCCGCGCAGUUCAAUGACAAGUAGAGAUUUCAGAAUAAUUGCCAUUUUGGUGGUAAAAUGGAAUUUAUUAUAUUUCUUUGUGUUGUUCACAUUGUACUUAUUGUGUGAUUUUGAACCUCAUAUGAAGAGUUGUUGUCCCUUUAAGGAGUCUGACAUAUUUUCAUGAAUAUGUCUGGUUUCAAAACCCUUGGUUAAUAAUAUUAAAAGUGACUUAAAAAUGAUCUCCAUUUGGUCAACCGUUAAAGCUAGAAGGAUAAUUUGAAGAAUAAAGUUACAAACACCAUAUUAAAAAAUAUAUUGAUGUCAUACUUAGAAAUAUCGGUGUAAUCAGAGAUGAUUGGUUUGUGCAAAAUCUUGCAAUCACAUACAAUUUGAAAACUGCAGGAAAUUGGAAGAACUGUAUUUACAUAUUAGGUAUAUACAGAGUUAUCUUUUUCUUUGUAUAUACUCCUGAAAAAUGUCAAAAUAACUUGCAGGUUAUUUGCAACAGUUUAACAUGGCUAUUCAAGAUUGCUGUUGAAAGUUUUUAGAUAUUGUAAUCCUUUCAUAUAUCUAUAUUUAAGUUACUGAAAUUUUCUUUGAUUUUGUUGUUGAAAAAUUAAAUCUAGUGUACAGCAUUAUGAUUUUCUUUGCAACAUUUGUGUCAGAUUAGUUGUAAAUUGAAUAAUUCUGACUUUGAGAGAGUGUUCUUGCAUAACUAUACAGUAUUUAUCCAUGGCUUUCCAGCACUUUUUGUGUAGAGCAUUACACAUAUUUUUAUAAUUCUAGUUCGUGAACAAAAUGAGCAAAAGAAUGAAAUUCCCCAUCUGUUGGUGUUUGUCUUUCUGUUAUAUAUAGUUCAAGUAUUUAAAUUAAAUUAUAAUUGAUUCAAUAAUGAAUGUACAAAUGUUAACUCUGUUCAAUUUCAGGAACUAGUUUUAAAGUGUAAGGAUUUUUAAAAUUGCAAAAAAAAAAAA